AUGCUCUAGUUUCUCUUCAGAUCAUAUAAGUCUUUUGCCUUUUACUGAAGAUUCCCAUGGAGAGGAACACCUCAGAGUUUUUAAAUUAAUUUUCGAGGUCUUGCUUUAGCAGGGCU
ensembl:snRNA U5 U5 spliceosomal RNA